rnacentral:lncRNA from 1 species
CUUUCAUAUUUAUUGGCUUUGAGGUAUUUUAUGUUCAAUUCACAUAAUUGAAAAUAUUUGCCCAAUCAUUCAAAAAGAGAAAAACAAAAGAAAAUGUUUAUCCAAUCCCUCAAAUUAUGGGUCAGAUUUUCGUUAUUUGGGCAGACCAUUGGACUCAUUAGCAAGUUCAAUGCAAAGUUUGUAAUGGUACCUAGAGUUU